GCCAGCAGCCAUAUCAAACUGCAACUCACAACUGGGAGCCCACUGAAGCCAAGCAGGUGUGAGCCUGGUCAGUACCUGGAUGGGAGACCACCUGGGAAAAACUAAGGUUGCUGCUGGAA
ensembl:rRNA 5S_rRNA 5S ribosomal RNA